rnacentral:rRNA from 1 species
AGAGUUUGAUCCUGGCUCAGGAUGAACGCUAGCGGCAGGCCUAAUACAUGCAAGUCGAACGGUGAUAGCAAUAUCAUAGUGGCGCACGGGUGCGUAACACGUAUGCAACCUACCUAUUAUUGGGGGAUAGCCUUUGGAAACGGAGAUUAAUACCGCAUAAUACGAUUGACUGGCAUCGGUUGAUUGUUAAAGCUUCGGCGAUAAUAGAUGGGCAUGCGUCCAAUUAGUUAGUUGGUUAGGUAACGGCUGACCAAGACGAUGAUUGGUAGGGGAUCUGAGAGGAUAAUCCCCCACACUGGCACUGAGAUACGGGCCAGACUCCUACGGGAGGCAGCAGUAGGGAAUAUUGGGCAAUGGGCGGAAGCCUGACCCAGCCAUGCCGCGUGCAGGAAGAAGGCGUUAUGCGUUGUAAACUGCUUUUUUAUAGGAAGAAGGAUCCCUUGCGAGGGAAGGUGACGGUACUAUAAGAAUAAGCACCGGCUAACUCCGUGCCAGCAGCCGCGGUAAUACGGAGGGUGCAAGCGUUGUCCGGAUUUAUUGGGUUUAAAGGGUGCGUAGGCGGUUUAUUAAGUCAGUGGUGAAAGACGGUCGCUCAACGAUUGCAGUGCCAUUGAUACUGGUAG